rnacentral:rRNA from 1 species
AAUAGAUACCCUGGUAGUCCACCCCGUAAACGUUGGGAACUAGUUGUGGGGUCCUUUCCACGGAUUCCGUGACGCAGCUAACGCAUUAAGUUCCCCGCCUGGGGAGUACGGCCGCAAGGCUAAAACUCAAAGGAAUUGACGGGGACCCGCACAAGCGGCGGAGCAUGCGGAUUAAUUCGAUGCAACGCGAAGAACCUUACCAAGGCUUGACAUACACCAGAACACCCUAGAAAUGGGGGACUCUUUGGACACUGGUGAACAGGUGGUGCAUGGUUGUCGUCAGCUCGUGUCGUGAGAUGUUGGGUUAAGUCCCGCAACGAGCGCAACCCUCGUCCUAUGUUGCCAGCACGUAAUGGUGGGAACUCAUGGGAUACUGCCGGGGUCAACUCGGAGGAAGGUGGGGAUGACGUCAAAUCAUCAUGCCCCUUAUGUCUUGGGCUUCACGCAUGCUACAAUGGCCGGUACAAAGGGCUGCAAUACCGUGAGGUGGAGCGAAUCCCAAAAAGCCGGUCCAGUUCGGAUUGAGGUCUGCAACUCGACCUCA